AGCUGCUGUUUGGAUGAGGAGCCUGGCUGCAGCAUGGCAUCAGGGCUGCCGUGCGGUGCAGAAUGGUCCCAUUUUGUGAUGGAGAAACGCAGUAAGCAAACUGCACAGUAUAUAUGAAAGCCGAAGCAGAGAGACAUCUGAUGAGGCUUCAUCGCUGACUCACUGUUUGAUGUUAGGCAGAAGGAGGAAUGUGAUCAGAUACCAUUGUGCAAAGCAUCCACCAGACAACUCUGUCACUCACAGGAGCAGCAGCUCUGAGCGAGAUGGGCUGGCAGCCCUGUUGUCCUGCCCUCAGCUGGCUCCGUGCCUCUCUCAGGCCAUGGGUAACCCCUUGCCAUCGCCACCUGAGCUCUGCAGAGAGAGCAGGGAGACAUCACCUUGGGGAUGCCUUAUACCAUGUGCAGACUCCUGCCGGCAGGGUCAGCCAGCGGUGCGGGAGAGGCUGCAGCCCGCAGGGGUGUGCACGGGUGUGCACGCCUGGAGUUCUUUCUCACGAGAUGGUGCAACCAGCUGGCGGGGAACUGGUUAAACAGCGUGAGCUCCUUGGCUGCCUGGGCUUGGCUGGCGGUGCGAGGCAGGGCAGGAUGUCACCAGGAAGCCGGCAUGUUUUAUUAAACAGAGUAUCAAAGUGG